GGAGAAAAAGCGGGCGGCGUCGUCAGCUUUCCCCUUUCACGAGUUCCGCGCCGCACAAUGAAACCUACCAAGGCGUUAGCACUGGGGGGGGGAGAGACAUGAAAAGCAAACACGGCGAGAGAUUACAUGGCUUUAAAGUAAGACGAGGCUGAAGAGUUAAAAAAAAACCCAGGCGAGAGUUUGCCCAACGUGGAGAGGCCUGAAUGGAGGAGAGAAAGGGGUUACCCCGGUGGAGUGACCCCGCUUCCCCCCAGCACGCCACCCCGGCGUCCCCCGCACGCACGCUUUCACAGCCCGCGGGAAGACUCCUUCAAGAAGGUCUGUUCGGGGCCACAAGUGGCAAAAAGAAUCUUAACGAACGUGAGGAGACAAUAUGGGCUCGGAUCCUCUGAAGACGAUUUCUAAAGACGCAAGAACAUUUGUCCAAACAAGCCGCAGAUGGAGAAGUGAAAACCAUUUGGACAGAAUGUUUAACAAGGAAGGAAAAUGAUUUUCAGAUGGAGAGGAAGUGGAAAGCAGAGAUUAAAACCCAGACUUUCCCACCACUCAUAAAUAAAACAUUAAAACGUC